CCACUGAAACAUGUUUAAAUAGGUUUAUUGAAGACAAACGAAGCCUACAUGAGUUUACUUUGCAUUCCACCCAAAGACAAAGUAAAACAUUAAAGCCAAGUGUUUCAGAGUCCUGACUGCCAUCAAGAUAUGUUACUGUAUAUGACCGAAGGAACUUCGUUCUGGUCUCAUUUGGGCUCCACUACAGCCAUAAACAUUCCCAAACUACUGCCUCUGCUGCUGAACUGGGGGAUAGACUGGGACUUGUGGAUGACCGGGGAUGAUGGGCAAGUCUCUGAUGUAGUGAUUGUUAUGGUAGUGGUCUCUUCCCUGCUCAUAACUGGUGCUGAAGUGACUGACAGUGCCUGGAGGAUAUUGGCCAGUCAGGAACUGGUAGUCGUAAUAAGGAUACCAAGGAAAACCAAAGCCUGGGCCACCAGGUGGAAAGUACAGGUGCAGCAGGAUAGUAGGAAGAACUGUAAGCAGCAGCUGCUGGAUAUGAGGCAGACUGGGAUCCAGAAACAGAUACAUAUCCUCCAGAAGGGUGUUGAUAGCCAUAACCAGGAUUUGCACUGUCACCACCACCAGAGGAGCUUUGAUCCCCACCUGGAUAGUGAGAAGUUUUUAGCACAACUGAAACUGCUUAACUUUGAACAAACAUUUAAGUAUGGAUAGGUCUUACCUUUCUUUACAGGGUAGCUGUAAGUUGCACCAAACAGCACAGCAAGGAGGAAAGCCCUAUUGAAAGAGACAAACACAUAACUACAAGUACCAACAAAAACCAGCCAAAACAUCAAAUUGCCACUUACCCAGAGGUGAGCCCAGCAGCCAUCAUGUUGAUCAAGCAGCUACUACUACUGCCACUCUCACCC
ensembl:lncRNA